AUGAGUGAGAACAGACGAGACCUGCUGUUUACAGUCCUGACCGGCCCACAGUCCGUCUUAAACAAAGGGUGUGGAUCACUGUGGUACACUUUCGGCGGCGGCACCAGACUGGAUGUUGGCAGCAACACUCCUCCUAAAGUGACCAUCCUGCCCCCGUCCAGUGCAGAGAUCUCCUCUCUGAACACAGCGACACUGCUGUGUGUGGCCAGCGAGGGCUUGCCGUCAGACUGGAGCCUGAGCUGGAAGGUGGACGGCAGCAGCAGGGCUCAGGAGAGCAGCGCUGGGCUCCUGCAGAAGGACAAUGCUCUGUACAGCUGGAGCAGCAGCCUGACUCUCUCUGAGCAGGAGUGGAUGAAGAGCGUCUCAGUGAGCUGUGAGGCCACACGGAGCGGCCAGCCUGCAGUCACUGCACACCUGAGGAGAGAUCAGUGUUCAGAUCAGUAGAUCCGCUCAGUCUCUCCUCUGGCUUCUGCUUCAUCCUUCUGGCUGACGACGUGUCUCUUCUGCUUCUCUGACUUCAUUAACACAAGAGCAUAUAUGAUGUUCUGUUAUAACUGAAAUAAAAUCAAUAAUAUUGUGUCUGACUUUCA